rnacentral:rRNA from 1 species
UGGGGAAUAUUGCGCAAUGGGCGAAAGCCUGACGCAGCAACGCCGCGUGGGUGAUGAAGGUCUUCGGAUUGUAAAACCCUGUCGUCAGGGACGAAGGUUAUUAGUUAAAUAGACUAGUAAUUUGACGGUACCUGGAAAGGAAGCCCCGGCUAACUCUGUGCCAGCAGCCGCGGUAAUACAGAGGGGGCAAGCGUUAUUCGGAAUUAUUGGGCGUAAAGAGCGCGUAGGCGGUAUUUUAAGUGAGAUGUGCAAUCCCCGAGCUUAACUUGGGAACUGCAUCUCAUACUGGGAUGCUAGAGUACUGGAGAGGGUGGUAGAAUUCCACGUGUAGCGGUGAAAUGCGUAGAGAUGUGGAGGAAUACCAGUGGCGAAGGCGGCCACCUGGACGGUAACUGACGCU